GCAAUUUGUAACUUUCAGUAGCUCUCCGGGACUGGGUACCGGAGGGAGGCGGGCGGAGGUGGGGAGAUGGGUACCUCCAGUCCUUCCACUCUCCUCGUUCAUCCUCGGGCACCCGGACCCCCCAGGCCUCCUUUCCCCCGGCACGCAGGCCCUGGCAGGGUCCCUCGCCCGCUCUGUCCCGCGGUGGCUCCGGAGCAGCAAGCUUCUUCAGAUUCACUGCAGGCACAAAAAUCAAAUUAUGAGAGUAACCUGUUUCUCAAAGACCUGCCCCUGGUGACCGUGUCCGCUCCUCGGAGGGAAACAGAGCCCGAGUGGGCAGAAGUGAAGCUGUCGCCGCCCCUCCUGCCUGGCUGCUCCAGCUUCAGCGGCGUCACAUUGGCAUUCCAGGCACAUUCAGCCCAGCCCCCGUCCCAGCUUCUCCCAAUUGACGAUUGAUGUUGCUUCUCUGCUCUGGGAAGACUGGAGAUAGGAGCAUGGAACCUCCUAGAGGCUGAGAGCUGAGCGGACUCCCUGAGGCUGGGAGCAGAUCCACCCUCUCACCCCCACCCCUGAGUCUGGUCAGACGAUUGGGGUGCCCGUGGUGAGGGCAGCGAGAGUGGGCCCGGGCCCUGGUAGCUGGGGCGCCUGAUUUCUUCCCUAACCUCUGUUCUGGCUCUUGGGCUGAUGGUCCCCUAUCAGUGCCCACCGACUGCAGGGGAAGCCACUGCUUUUCCCCUGGAGGGCUGUGACGGGGAAAUUACUUCCCUUGUCUAAUACUCCCUUUGGUAGAAUCACCUCUGGAGUGUGUGUAGGAGGUGAUUGGGUGGAGACUCACAUUUACUAAAUACCCUCUGACUAUGGACCAGCCCACACAUCCAUGAUCUCACUUGAGAGGGUGGGGAAAACAGAGGGCUAAAAAGGUGGAGUAACUUGCCGAAGACAUAAAGCAAAGAAAGUGGCAGAGCUGGAAUCUGAACUCUGAUCUGCCUGAUGACAAAUCUUAACUUACUUCCAUGGCUGCACAUUUUCUGAAGGGGGAGGGGAGACACAUGGAAAGUCGGGACCAGGAUGAGGCCAGGACCAUAGAGCCUCUGGAGGAUGGAAGGUGGGGAGUGGGGGAGUGGGGAUGGGAGGAGGCCAGGUGGGAAUGUUUCAGUCAGGGAGGACUUCCUAGGGGAGGAAAAUGCAGAUCAGAGUUCAGAUGUGAAGGGAAUGAGGAUACUAAGUAAAGAAGAGGGAGGGAGUGGUGCAUUGCAAAGAGGGAGAGGAAGAAAGGGCUAUCCAAAGGUCAAGUGAGGCCAAGGGACGUGAAUCUGAUUUGCCUGGGGUUUGCCUUGCUGGCACCAGGUAAAAUCAGUUACCAGGUCCUGAGGGCCCACUCUGAGCCAGCUAUGGGCAUUAUCCGUCAAUGCUGACACACAGCAACCCUGAGAAGUAUGUUUCUUAUUCCUAUGUCCACAAGAGCCAGUUGAAGCUCAGAGACCUUAAUCCCCACUUCAGGUGACACAUUUGGUAGCUGGACUUGCCUGGCACAAAAACCUGUGCCCGGGCCACCUGCAAAGCGUGUCUUGCCUUCCAUUCUGAGUUCAAAUGAUCCUGCAUCCCCACAUGUAUUGUCACAUGUGGUGACAGGAGCCGGGUGAGAGAGUGAGAUGAGACGGAGUGGGAUGGCCAGCCGGCAGUGGUAGAAGGAACCUUUCUCAUGCCCUAGUGAGGAGAAUGGAUAGAAGGGUGGGACAAGGCCUCCAAACCACUUUCCUGGGACUGCUAAUCUUGGGUGGGUGGCAGGACCUCAUUGGGAAUCACACUGUUUUCUGGGCGGUGGGCGGUGGACUCUGGGAGGGGAAGAGGAAGAGGGCAGCUUAGGGGUGGGUCGAGCCCUGGAUUAAGACUGCCAGUUUCCCACUGAAGUCCCUUCUCUCCUUGUCAUGUGAGGAUAGAGAGUCUCCCAGCCGGACACUCCACUUUCCAGCUGCCCUUUCUACAAGGUGUGGCCAGCAGGGAAUGUGAGCUAGAUAAUAUUAUCAGAGCCUUAAAACAUGGGGUAAGUUCUCCUUUUUUAUGAGCUGGACCAGAUACGCCUGAGACUGAGCUUUGACUGCAAUGGAGGAGAAAUUCCUAAGCGAGGGCAGGGCAACAAUGUACUAGGAACCCAAGUUCCUGACUGACCAAGUGGAGCAGAGCGAUCUGCCAUCCAGGACUGCCCCCUUCCACUGUUACGUGAGAAAUAAACUUGUUUUCUGAA